rnacentral:misc_RNA from 1 species
GAGCCCCAGAUCAAAGUCGUUCUUAUUCUCUAGUUUCAGGUGGAGGUCCGCCACGGUUUCUUCAAAUGAGAACUUUGCGAAGCGUAUCUUCUCAACGUCAACAUCCGGCUUGUAUGGGAUAGGAAUCUCACCCUUCUUCUCCAGAGGCAGAGUGAUCCUUCCGAAAAUCGGUACAUCGACAAUAAGGUCAACCUUGAUUCUGUACGGAAUGAUGCUCCCUGGCUUGAUUUCAUGGUAUGUACUCUUGAUAUCAUCAAAUAUUAAGGUCACCGGGAUCUUAACAGUCUCGGAGCCAUGAGCAUGGAUCGUUCCCGCAUCAGGGAUCAAUCCAGACACUAGUUUCCUCUCCUCACUAUCUAUCAGGUAAUUAAUGUCAAUCAGCGGAAUUGGUAUUGGAUUAGGAUUUGUGAUGAGCACGUCGACGACAAUGUCAACCUUCUUCAGGUUGAUGGUAGGGAGGUGAACCCCAGUGACAUCUGCAGUAGGUUUUCCGAAGCCUAUCGCCUCCUCAAUCUUCUCGCCAAUGUCGUGAAUAAAAUCCUUCACUUUUUCUAUGAAACCCUCCUUCUCUUCUUCCUUGUUCUCUUUUUCCUUGUGCCCUUUUUCCUUGUGCCCUUUCUCUCUCACUUCAGUCUCAGACACUUCCGGGUUAUCAGAGGACGACAUUCCUCCGCGGGAAGAAGAAACUCGUCGCCGCCGGGAGAGUUAGAAUGCUGUGGACUUGCGGUGAAGGC